GGAUGUAAGCGUGAUCUGGCUGCGACAUCUGUCACCCCAUUGAUCACCAGCGUUGAUUCAAGUGAUCUAGCUGGCUAGGCGGGUAUCCCCUUCCUCCCUCACCACUCCAUGUGCGUCCCUCCCAAAGUUGUGCAGAUGGUCAAAGAGAACGGCCUUCCCCGAAUAGCGACGGACCAGUCUUCGGUGGAGGGUAUACGAGUAGCUGUGCUCCCCUGCUAGAACCUCCAAACAAGCUCUCAAGAGUAAUUUACUUGUAUACAAGCUGGGAGCUUGGUAGAAAAGCAAGCAAAUAUGUCUUCAUGAAAUUAGGCGCUGGGUAACUUAGCACGUCUGCA
ensembl:misc_RNA 7SK 7SK RNA